rnacentral:rRNA from 1 species
UGCAGAAUCCCGUGAACCAUCGAGUCUUUGAACGCAAGUUGCGCCCGAGGCCUUUCGGUCGAGGGCACGCCUGCCUGGGCGUCACGC